AGCCGAACGGGUGAAUUUUUCCUUGCGUUAACCGGUUAACCAUAUGCAUUAACCGGUUAACACUGUUUGAAAUCUGUUCAAAAAUCAGUUUUCUGCCUUGCGUUAACCGGUUAACCAAAUGCUUUAACCGGUUAACACUGUUUUGAAAAACUCAGAAAAUUGAAUUUCGUCUUGCGUUAACCGGUUAACCAUAUGCGUUAACCGGUUAACACUGUUUGAAA
rnacentral:lncRNA from 1 species